GCAGUCGAGCGGAUGACGGGAGCUUGCUCCUUGAUUCAGCGGCGGACGGGUGAGUAAUGCCUAGGAAUCUGCCUGGUAGUGGGGGACAACGUUUCGAAAGGAACGCUAAUACCGCAUACGUCCUACGGGAGAAAGCAGGGGACCUUCGGGCCUUGCGCUAUCAGAUGAGCCUAGGUCGGAUUAGCUAGUAGGUGAGGUAAUGGCUCACCUAGGCGACGAUCCGUAACUGGUCUGAGAGGAUGAUCAGUCACACUGGAACUGAGACACGGUCCAGACUCCUACGGGAGGCAGCAGUGGGGAAUAUUGGACAAUGGGCGAAAGCCUGAUCCAGCCAUGCCGCGUGUGUGAAGAAGGUCUUCGGAUUGUAAAGCACUUUAAGUUGGGAGGAAGGGCAGUAAGCUAAUACCUUGCUGUUUUGACGUUACCGACAGAAUAAGCACCGGCUAACUCUGUGCCAGCAGCCGCGGUAAUACAGAGGGUGCAAGCGUUAAUCGGAAUUACUGGGCGUAAAGCGCGCGUAGGUGGUUCGUUAAGUUGGAUGUGAAAGCCCCGGGCUCAACCUGGGAACUGCAUCCAAAACUGGCGAGCUAGAGUAUGGUAGAGGGUGGUGGAAUUUCCUGUGUAGCGGUGAAAUGCGUAGAUAUAGGAAGGAACACCAGUGGCGAAGGCGACCACCUGGACUGAUACUGACACUGAGGUGCGAAAGCGUGGGGGAGCAAACAGGAUUAGAUACCCUGGUAGUCCACGCCGUACACGAUGUCAACUAGCCGUUGGAAUCCUUGAGAUUUUAGUGGCGCAGCUAACGCAUUAAGUUGACCGCCUGGGGAGUACGGGCCGCAAGGUUAAAACUCAAAUGAAUUGACGGGGGCCCGCACAAGCGGUGGAGCAUGUGGUUUAAUUCGAAGCAACGCGAAGACCCUUACC
rnacentral:rRNA from 1 species